UUGACCUCGGAUCAGGUAGGGAUACCCGCGGAA
rnacentral:rRNA from 1 species